rnacentral:rRNA from 1 species
UACGGGGGGAGCAAGCGUUGUUCGGAUUUACUGGGCGUAAAGGGCGCGUAGGCGGUCAGCACAAGUCAGUUGUGAAAUCUCCGGGCUUAACUCGGAAAGGUCAACUGAUACUGUGCGACUAGAGUGCAGAAGGGGCAACUGGAAUUCUCGGUGUAGCGGUGAAAUGCGUAGAUAUCGAGAGGAACAUCAGUGGCGAAGGCGGUCUGCUGGGCCGUUGCUGACGCUGAGGCGCGACAGCGUGGGGAGCAAACAGG